ensembl:snRNA U1 U1 spliceosomal RNA
AUACUUACCUGGCAGGAAGAUACCAUGAUCAUGAAGGUGGUUUUCCCAGGGCGAGGCUUAGCCAUUGCAUUUCCAAUGUGCUGACCCCUGUGGUUUCCCCAAAUGUGGGAAACUCAACUGCAUAAUUUGUGGUAGUGGGGGACUGUGUUUGAAGUCUCCCCUA